UUCGAAUCAACUCGAAUUAUUUUUUUCGAAUUUCGAGUUCAAAUCGAGUUGAGUUUUCAAAUUCGAAUAACUCGAAUAAUUCGAAUAUUAAACUAUAAUAUUUUACAUUUUUACCCUAAACUCCCAAACCUUUUUACUUUUCACUCAAAACUUUUACUCCUUCCCACUUUUUCCCCAAAACUUUUACUCUCCUCCCCUCCCAACCCCCCAAUCUACCCAAAAUCCAUUUCCCAUCAAAAUUUUACUCUCCCAUUUAUUAUUUCUCAAAAUUUUACUCCAAAAAACCCUCAAAAUAUUUUAUUUUCCCCCACUAUUUUUACUUCCUCCCACUUUUCCCCUAAAACUUUUAUUCCCUCCCCAUCCCACCUCCCAUCUACCCCAAACUCUCCCCCCUCCAUUUUUUUUAAUAUU
rnacentral:lncRNA from 1 species